rnacentral:rRNA from 1 species
GGAUAACCUACCCUCAGGAGGGGGAUAACCCCGGGAAACUGGGGAUAAUACCCCAUAGAUCAGGGACGCUGGAAUGCCCCCUGAUUCAAAGGUCCGCCGCCUGAGGAUGGGUCUGCGGCCGAUUAGGUUGUUGUUGGGGUAACGGCCCAACAAGCCAUUGAUCGGUACGGGUUGUGAGAGCAAGAGCCCGGAGAUGGAUUCUGAGACACGAAUCCAGGCCCUACGGGGCGCAGCAGGCGCGAAAACUUUACAAUGCGAGAAAUCGUGAUAAGGGAACCCCGAGUGCCCGUAAAUUCGGGCUGUCCGCCAGUGUAAAUAACUGGUGAAGAAAGGGCCGGGCAAGACCGGUGCCAGCCGCCGCGGUAAUACCGGCGGCUCGAGUGGUGGCCACUAUUACUGGGCUUAAAGCGUCCGUAGCUGGAUUGUUAAGUCUCUUGGGAAAUCCACCGGCUCAACCGAUGGGCGUUCAGGAGAAACUGGCAAUCUAGGGACCGGGAGAGGUGAGAGGUACUCCAGGGGUAGGAGUGAAAUCCUGUAAUCCUUGGGGGACCACCUGUGGCGAAGGCGUCUCACUAGAACGGCUCCGACAGUGAGGGACGAAAGCUGGGGGAGCAAACCGGAUUAGAUACCCGGGUAGUCCCAGCUGUAAACGAUGCGCGUUAGGUGUAUCGGUGACCACGAGUCAUCGAGGUGCCGAAGGGAAACCGUGAAACGUGCCGCCUGGGAAGUACGGUCGCAAGGCUGAAACUUAA